CUCUGGGCCCGCCUGUAGGCUCAGGGCAGAAAGAG
rnacentral:ncRNA from 1 species